GACGAACGCUGGCGGCGUGCUUAACACAUGCAAGUCGAACGGUAAGGCCCUUCGGGGUACACGAGUGGCGAACGGGUGAGUAACACGUGGGUGAUCUGCCCUGCACUUCGGGAUAAGCCUGGGAAAAUGGGUCUAAUACCGGAUAGGACAACUGCCUGCAUGGGGGGUGGGGGAAAGCUUUUGCGGUGUGGGGUGGGCCCGCGGCCUAGCAGCUUGGUGAUGGGGUGAUGGACUCGCAAGGCGACGACGGGUAGCCGGCCUGGGAGGGUGGCCGGCCACACUGGGACUGAGAUACGGCCCAGACUCCUACGGGAGGCAGCAGUGGGGAAUAUUGCACAAUGGGCGCAAGCCUGAUGCAGCGACGCCGCGUGAGGGAUGACGGCCUUCGGGUUGUAAACCUCUUUCAGCACCGACGAAGCGCAAGUGACGGUAGGUGCAGAAGAAGGACCGGCCAACUACGUGCCAGCCGCCGCCGUAA
rnacentral:rRNA from 1 species